rnacentral:rRNA from 1 species
AAUAGCCUAACGGCUGAACCAGCAACUUGGAGGAAUGUAUAGCAAUAGCUAAUUGCAUCAGUUAUCAACUGGUACAAUAUCGACUCUGUCGAAUAAAAUUCUAGGUAGAAUUAUGAUAAUGACAUUAUCUACCUAUAUGUCUUGACCAAAUUACGUGCCAGCAGUCGCGGUAAUACGUAGAAGACUAGUGUUAUUCAUCUUUAGUAGGUUUAAAGGGUACCUAGACGGUAAACCAAGCUUUAAUAGGGACUAGUUUGCUAGAGUUACUUAUGAGGGGGCAUAAAAGUACUAACGGUGUAGAGAUGAAAUUCUGUCAUACCUUUUUUCGAGGGAAUAGCAACGGCACUUAUAUAGGCGAAAGCAUCCCCUUAUGGGAUAACUGACGUUGAGGGACGAAGGCUUUGUGUAGCGAACAGGAUUAGAUACCCUGGUAGUCGAAGCAGAAAAUGAUGAGUGUCAUAGAUUAGGUAAUACUUUAUUCUAUAAAUGAAAGUGUAAGCACUCCACCUCAAGAGUAAUUUGGCAACAUUGGAACUGAAAUCAUUAGACCGUUUCUGAAACCAGUAGUGAAGUAUGUUGUUUAAUUUGAUAUCACGCAAAGAACCUUACCACAACUUGAAUGUUUAUAUUAAAUAUAGAUACAAGCGUUGCACGGCUGUCUUCAGUUAAUGUCGCGAGAUUAUGGUUAGCUCCAUUAAAUUAACGUAAACCCUUACUUUAUUUAUACAUAAAGUUGUUCUCCGCUAUAUUGGAUAAGAUAACAGGGACUAAGACAAGUCAUCAUGGCCUGAAUGUUGUGGGCUAUAGACGUGCCACGUGAGCUUUUACAAAAGGAUGUAAAAUUGAAAAAUUGAGCUAAUCCAAUAAAAUUGGCUAUACACUAACAAU